AUGAUUAAAGAACAGAACAGAAUCUUCAUCAUCACACAAACCAAAAGAACAACAAUGACUUUCAUCAUCAUCUUCAUCUGGACACUCACAGUCUUUACUCAAGUGUGUAGAGGACAGUACACGGUUACUCAGAGUCCAUCAAUAACAGCAGUUCAACCAGGACAACAAGUUAAAAUAAACUGUAAAGUCAGCAGUGCAGUAGUGAUGGUCAACCCGGAUCUUUUUAAGGAUUCGGGUUAUUCUGAUGCAGUGCAUAAUAGUAAUUGUUUAUACUGGUACUUACAGAAACCCGGAGAAGCUCCUAAACUCCUCAUAUAUUAUGCAACAAGCCUCCAGUCAGGAACUCCAUCAAGAUUCAGUGGCAGCGGAUCAAACACAGAUUUCACUUUGACCAUCAGAGAAGUUCAGACUGAAGAUUCAGGAGAUUAUUACUGUCUGAGUUUCCACUAUCCAAGUAGCACUUAUGUGUACACACAGUGAUAAAGAGUGAUACAAAAACCUCUGUCAGUCAGACUGCACAG